AUCAUCAAAAACAUGACUUUGAUCUGCGUCCUCAUCUGGACUGUCCUCCUCUGCUGCUGCUUCACAGAGUCCAGAGGACAGGUCACAGUGACUCAGCCUGCAGCAGUGACCUCUGCUCUGGGAGCCUCCGUCUCCAUCUCAUGUAGGACCAGUCAGAAUGUUUACAGUAGUAGCUAUUUGCACUGGUACCAACAGAAAGAUGGAGGAACUCCUAAACUGCUUAUAUACAUUGCUAGCAAUCGAGAAUCAGGGAUUCCAGAUCGUUUUUCAGGCAGUGGAUCAAACUCUGCCUUCACUCUGACCAUCAGUGGAGUCCAGACUGAAGAUGCAGCAGUUUACUACUGUCAGAGUUAUUAUGAAAUCAACAGUCAGUAUGUGUUCACACAGUGAAAUAGCAUCGUA